rnacentral:rRNA from 1 species
GUCUUCUUGGUUGAAUAAGAAGUCUGACCUGCCCGGUGAUAUAUAAUUUUAACGGCCGCGGUAUUUUUGACCGUGCAAAGGUAGCAUAAUCAUUAGUCUUUUAAUAGGGGGCUGGUAUGAAGGGUUUGACGAGGAGUUGACUGUCUCAUUUGAUUUUAUUUUAGAAUUUAACUUUUCAGUUAAAAGGCUGAAAUUUCAUUGGAAGACGAGAAGACCCUAUAGAGUUUGAUAAUUAAUUUUAUAAUUAUGCAUAAUAUUUAAUGUAUACAUUUAAUUAUUUUGUUGGGGUGACAAAAAUAUAUAAUUAACUUUUUUAUUUAUUUAUCAUUGAUAUAUGUACUUAAGAUCCAGUCUUAUUGAUUGUUAGAAUAAGUUACCUUAGGGAUAACAGCGUAAUCUUUCUUUGGAGUUCUUAUUUACAGAAAGGCUUGCGACCUCGAUGUUGGAUUAAGAUAACAGUUAGGUGUAGCCGCUUAAUGUGUGGGUCUGUUCGACCUUUAAAUUCUU